UACGGGGGGGGCAAGCGUUGUUCGGAAUUACUGGGCGUAAAGGGCUCGUAGGUGGCCAACUAAGUCAGACGUGAAAUCCCUCGGCUUAACCGGGGAACUGCGUCUGAUACUGGAUGGCUUGAGUUUGGGAGAGGGACGCGGAAUUCCAGGUGUAGCGGUGAAAUGCGUAGAUAUCUGGAGGACACGGUGGCGAAGGCGGCGUCCUGGACCAAACACUGACACUGGAUGAGCGAAAGCCAGGGGAGCAAACGGG
rnacentral:rRNA from 1 species